rnacentral:lncRNA from 1 species
AGGGAAAUUUGUGUGGUCUGUAAUUUUGACUAAUGAAUGAAGGUGCUUGCAAGUUGCAAAUAACGAACCUUAGCUGUUUUUUUCUGCACAAAUUUUAUUCUGACUUUUGUUAUUAAGAUUAUUCUUAUGAUUCUUCAAAGUGGUCAAGUAGAUUGCCCACUAAAAAUUCCCGAGACAUGUUAGUUUUCCACAUAAUGUUAUGGUCCUAGAGAGACUCCUGUUAUAUAGUUGUUGCUAUGUUCUCACCAGGGAGUUUGUUU